CCUACGGGAGGCAGCAGUGGGGGAUAUUGCACAAUGGGGGAAACCCUGAUGCAGCGACGCCGCGUGUGGGAAGACGGUCCUCUGGAUUGUAAACCACUGUCCCCAGGGACGAAGAUGACGGUACCUGGGGAGGAAGCUCCGGCUAACUACGUGCCAGCAGCCGCGGUAAUACGUAGGGAGCGAGCGUUGUCCGGAAUUACUGGGUGUAAAGGGAGCGUAGGCGGGACUGCAAGUUGGGUGUCAAAUCUACCGGCUCAACCGGUAGCCGCACUCAAAACUGCAGUUCUUGAGUGAAGUAGAGGCAGGCGGAAUUCCUAGUGUAGCGGUGAAAUGCGGAGAUAUUAGGAGGAACACCAGUGGCGAAGGCGGCCUGCUGGGCUUUUACUGACGCUGAGGCUCGAAGGUGUGGGGAGCAAACAGGAUUAGAUACCCCAGUAGUC
rnacentral:rRNA from 1 species